rnacentral:misc_RNA from 1 species
AAAGUCGUAACAAGGUUUCCGUAGGUGAACCUGCGGAAGGAUCAUUACAGAGUUCAUGCCCUUACGGGUAGAUCUCCCACCCUUGAAUAUAUACCUUUGUUGCUUUGGCGGGUCGCAUCGUCCACUGGCUUUUUGCUAGUGAGUGCCCGCCAGAGAACCCUAAAUUCUGAAUUAAAGUGUCGUCUGAGUAUUAUAUAAUAGUUAAAACUUUCAACAACGGAUCUCUUGGUUCUG